rnacentral:rRNA from 1 species
AUUGAACGCUGGCGGCAUGCUUUACACAUGCAAGUCGAACGGCAGCGGGGAGGAGCUUGCUUCUCUGCCGGCGAGUGGCGAACGGGUGAGUAAUACAUCGGAACGUGUCGAGAAGAGGGGGAUAACCACCCGAAAGGGUGGCUAAUACCGCAUAAAUUCUGAGGAAGAAAGCUGGGGACCUAGGAAUAGGCCUAGCGCUUUUUGAGCGGCCGAUGUCGGAUUAGCUAGUUGGUGAGGUAAAGGCUCACCAAGGCGAAGAUCUGUAGCGGGUCUGAGAGGAUGAUCCGCAACACUGGGACUGAGACACGGCCCAGACUCCUACGGGAGGCAGCAGUGGGGAAUUUUGGACAAUGGGGGCAACCCUGAUCCAGCCAUGCCGCGUGUAUGAAGAAGGCCUUAGGGUUGUAAAGUACUUUUGUUAGGGAAGAAAAGUCAGCUGUGAAUAAUGGCUGAUACUGACGGUACCUAAAGAAUAAGCACCGGCUAACUACGUG